GCGGGCAUAGUUUAAUGGUAAAACCUUAGCCUUCCAAGCUAAUGUUGUCGGUUCGAUUCCGUCUGCCCGCUUCA
rnacentral:tRNA from 1 species